AACGAACGCUGGCGGCAUGCCUAACACAUGCAAGUCGAACGAGAUCUUCGGGUCUAGUGGCGCACGGGUGCGUAACGCGUGGGAAUCUGCCCUUUGGUUCGGAAUAACAGUUGGAAACGACUGCUAAUACCGGAUGAUGACGAAAGUCCAAAGAUUUAUCGCCAGAGGAUGAGCCCGCGUAGGAUUAGCUAGUUGGUGUGGUAAAGGCGCACCAAGGCGACGAUCCUUAGCUGGUCUGAGAGGAUGAUCAGCCACACUGGGACUGAGACACGGCCCAGACUCCUACGGGAGGCAGCAGUGGGGAAUAUUGGACAAUGGGCGAAAGCCUGAUCCAGCAAUGCCGCGUGAGUGAAGAAGGCCUUCGGGUUGUAAAGCUCUUUCAUGGGGGACGAUAAUGACGGUACCUCAAGAAGAAGCCUCGGCUAACUUCGUGCCAGCCGCCGCAGUAA
rnacentral:rRNA from 1 species